rnacentral:rRNA from 1 species
UACGUAGGGUGCGAGCGUUGUCCGGAAUUACUGGGCGUAAAGAGCUCGUAGGCGGUUUGUCGCGUUGUUCGUGAAAAUUCACAGCUCAACUGUGGGCGUGCGGGCGAUACGGGCAGACUGGAGUACUGCAGGGGAGACUGGAAUUCCUGGUGUAGCGGUGGAAUGCGCAGAUAUCAGGAGGAACACCGGUGGCGAAGGCGGGUCUCUGGGCAGUAACUGACGCUGAGGAGCGAAAGCGUGGGGAGCGAACAGG